rnacentral:rRNA from 1 species
UAACACAUGCAAGUCGAACGAUGAAGCCCUUCGGGGUGGAUUAGUGGCGAACGGGUGAGUAACACGUGGGCAAUCUGCCCUGCACUCUGGGACUAGCCCUGGAAACGGGGUCUAAUACCGGAUAUGACCAUCGCGGGCAUCUGUGAUGGUGGAAAGCUCGGGCGGUGCAGGAUGAGCCCGCGGCCUAUCAGCUUGUUGGUGGGGUGAUGGCCUACCAAGGCGACGACGGGUAGCCGGCCUGAGAGGGCGACCGGCCACACUGGGACUGAGACACGGCCCAGACUCCUACGGGAGGCAGCAGUGGGGAAUAUUGCACAAUGGGCGAAAGCCUGAUGCAGCGACGCCGCGUGAGGGAUGACGGCCUUCGGGUUGUAAACCUCUUUCAGCAGGGAAGAAGCGCAAGUGACGGUACCUGCAGAAGAAGCACCGGCUAACUACGUGCCAGCAGCCGCGGUAAUACGUAGGGUGCGAGCGUUGUCCGGAAUUAUUGGGCGUAAAGAGCUCGUAGGCGGCUUGUCGCGUCGGAUGUGAAAGCCCGGGGCUUAACCCCGGGUCUGCAUUCGAUACGGGCAGGCUAGAGUUCGGUAGGGGAGAUCGGAAUUCCUGGUGUAGCGGUGAAAUGCGCAGAUAUCAGGAGGAACACCGGUGGCGAAGGCGGAUCUCUGG